CCUACGGGAUGCAGCAGUGAGGAAUAUUGGUCAAUGGCCGCAGGGCUGAACCAGCCAAGUCGCGUGAGGGAUGACGGUCCUAUGGAUUGUAAACCUCUUUUGUCAGGGAGCAAAGGGCGCCACGUGUGGCGCUUUGCGAGUACCUGAAGAAAAAGCAUCGGCUAACUCCGUGCCAGCAGCCGCGGUAAUACGGAGGAUGCGAGCGUUAUCCGGAUUUAUUGGGUUUAAAGGGGGCGCAGGCGGAAUGUCAAGUCAGCGGUAAAAUUUCGGGGCUCAACCCCGUCGUGCCGUUGAAACUGGCGUUCUUGAGUGAGCGAGAAGUAUGCGGAAUGCGUGGUGUAGCGGUGAAAUGCAUAGAUAUCACGCAGAACUCCGAUUGCGAAGGCAGCAUACCGGCGCUCAACUGACGCUCAUGCACGAAAGCGUGGGUAUCGAACAGGAUUAGAUACCCGAGUAGUC
rnacentral:rRNA from 1 species